rnacentral:rRNA from 1 species
GACGAACGCUGGCGGCGUGCUUAACACAUGCAAGUCGAACGGAGUGGCGAACGGGUGAGUAACACGUGGGUGACUGCCCUGCACUUCGGGAUAAGCCCGGGCAACUGGGUAUAAUACCGGAUAGUUGUGGAUGACUCGCGUCCUAUAUCAUUGUUGGUGGGGUAGUUGCCUACCAAGGCGACGACGGGUAGCCGGCCUGAGAGGGCGACCGGCCGCAUUGGUCUGAUGUACGGCCCAAACUCUUACGGGAGGCAGCUGUGGGGAAUCUUGCACAAUGGGGGAAACCCUGAUGCAGCACCGCCGCGUGCUGGAUGUCGGCCUUCGGGUUGUAAACCGCUUUCAGCCAUGACGCGUUAGUGGCAGAAGAAGCACCGGCUAACUACGUGCCAGCAGCCGCGGUAAUAC